rnacentral:rRNA from 1 species
UCGGAAGCGGUGGUGGAUUGUACAUGAGAGAGAAUGCCGGAAUGAGUAGCGAGAAUUAUGUGAGAAUCAUAAUGGCCGAAAAUCUAAGGUUUCCUGAGGAAGGUUCGUCCGCUCAGGGUAAGCCGGGAGCUAAGGUGAGGCGGAAACGCGUAACCGAUGCACAUACGGUAGAGAUUCCGUAGCCUCCGAAAAGUAAAGCACAGGGACGCUUCAGAAGUGUUACGCCGGGCGAUGGUAGCCCCGGUUGUAAAGGACACAAUUGAGUGGAAGGUAACAUGGAUGGAGACAAGAAAAGCUGUGUGUAUCUGGAAGGAGCCCGUACCGCAAACCGACACAGGUAGAUAGGAAGAAGAUUCUAAGGCCAGCGGGAGAAGGGUUGUUAAGGAACUCGGCAAGUUGACCCCGUAACUUCGGGAGAAGGGGUGCUUACGAAGGUAAGCCGCAGAGAAUAGGCCCAAGCGACUGUUUAGCAAAAACACAGCUCUAUGCUAAAUCGAAAGAUGACGUAUAUGGGGUGACACCUGCCCGGUGCUGGAAGGUUAAGAGGAGAUGUGAGAGCAUUGAAUUGAAGCCCCAGUAAACGGCAGCCGUAACAAUAACGGUCCUAAGGUAGCGAAAUUCCUUGUCAGGUAAGUUCUGACCCGCACGAAUGGUGUAACGAUUUGGGCACUGUCUCAACAACCUACCCGGCGAAAUUGUAGUAUCGGUGAAGAUGCCGGUUACCCGCGACAAGACGGAAAGACCCCAUGGAGCUUCACUGUAGCUUAAUAUUGAAUUUUGGUAUUUCAUGUACAGGAUAGGUGGGAGACUGGGAAAUACAGGCGUCAGCUUGUAUAGAGUCACUGUUGGGAUACCACUCUUGAGGUGCUGAAAUUCUAACCUGCGUCUUUGAAUCAAGACGGGGGACAUUGUUAGGUGGGCAGUUUGACUGGGGCGGUCGCCUCCAAAAGAGUAACGGAGGCGCUCAAAGGUUCGCUCAGCAUGGACGGAAACCAUGCCAAAGAGUGCAAACGCAAAAGCGAGCCUAACUGCGAGACUGACGGGUCGAGCAGUAACGAAAGUUGGAGUUAGUGAUCCGGCGGUAUGUGAGUGGAAAUGCCGUCGCUCAACGGAUAAAAGCUACCCUGGGGAUAACAGGCUGAUCUCCCCCAAGAGUCCACAUCGACGGGGAGGUUUGGCACCUCGAUGUCGGCUCAUCGCAUCCUGGGGCUGAAUUCGGUCCCAAGGGUUUGGCUGUUCGCCAAUUAAAGCGGUACGCGAGCUGGGUUCAGAACGUCGUGAGACAGUUCGGUCCCUAUCUGUCGUGGGCGUAGGAUAUUUGAAAGGAGCUGUCCCUAGUACGAGAGGACCGGGAUGGACGCACCUCUGGUGAACCAGUUGUCACGCCAGUGGCACGGCUGGGCAGCUAAGUGCGGAACGGAUAAACGCUAAAAGCAUCUAAGCGUGAAGCCGACCUUAAGAUAAGAUAUCCGUUCUUCGGAAUAAGACCCCUUGUAGACUACGAGGUUGAUAGGCUUAAAGUGUAAGCAUGGUGACAUGUUUAGCUUGCAAGUACUAAUCGGUCGAUUGCUUUUCCAG